rnacentral:rRNA from 1 species
UACAGAGGAUGCAAGCGUUGUCCGGAAUCAUUGGGCGUAAAGAGCGUGUAGGCGGCCAGAAAAGUCCGCUGUGAAAACUCGAGGCUCAACUUCGAGCUGUCGGUGGAAACUUUCUGGCUAGAGUCCGGAAGAGGAGAAUGGAAUUCCUGGUGUAGCGGUGAAAUGCGCAGAUAUCAGGAAGAACACCCGUGGCGAAGGCGGUUCUCUGGGACGGUACUGACGCUGAGACGCGAAAGCGUGGGGAGCGAACAGG